rnacentral:rRNA from 1 species
CCUACGGGAGGCAGCAGUGGGGAAUCUUGCGCAAUGGCCGAGAGGCUGACGCAGCGACGCCGCGUGGGGGAUGAAGCAUUUCGGUGUGUAAACCCCUGUUGCUCGGGACGAACGAUCCUUUUCGAGGGCUCUGACGGUACCGAGUGAGGAAGCACCGGCUAACUCCGUGCCAGCAGCCGCGGUAAUACGGAGGGUGCGAGCGUUGUCCGGAAUCACUGGGCGUAAAGGGCGCGUAGGCGGUCUGCUAAGCGUGUGGUGAAAGCUCGGGGCUCAACCCCGAGUCGGCCAUGCGAACUGGUGGACUCGAGCACUGUAGAGGCAGGUGGAAUUCCGGGUGUAGCGGUGGAAUGCGUAGAGAUCCGGAAGAACACCGGUGGCGAAGGCGGCCUGCUGGGCAGUAGCUGACGCUGAGGCGCGAUAGCGUGGGGAGCAAACAGGAUUAGAUACCCUGGUAGUCCACGCCGUAAACGAUGGGUACUAGGUGCUUGGGGGAGCGACCCCCCGAGUGCCGGCGCUAACGCAUUAAGUACCCCGCCUGGGGAGUACGACCGCAAGGUUGGAAACUCAAAGGAAUUGACGG